AGUGAACGCUGGCGGUAGGCCUAACACAUGCAAGUCGAACGGCAGCACAGUAAGAGCUUGCUCUUACGGGUGGCGAGUGGCGGACGGGUGAGGAAUACAUCGGAAUCUACUUUUUCGUGGGGGAUAACGUAGGGAAACUUACGCUAAUACCGCAUACGACCUACGGGUGAAAGCAGGGGAUCUUCGGACCUUGCGCGAUUGAAUGAGCCGAUGUCGGAUUAGCUAGUUGGCGGGGUAAAGGCCCACCAAGGCGACGAUCCGUAGCUGGUCUGAGAGGAUGAUCAGCCACACUGGAACUGAGACACGGUCCAGACUCCUACGGGAGGCAGCAGUGGGGAAUAUUGGACAAUGGGCGCAAGCCUGAUCCAGCCAUACCGCGGGGGUGAAGAAGGCCGUCGGGUUGUAAAGCCCUUUUGUUGGGAAAGAAAAGCAGCAGGUUAAUACCCCGCUGUUCUGACGGUACCCAAAGAAUAAGCACCGGCUAACUUCGUGC
rnacentral:rRNA from 1 species